GAUGAAGAACACAGCGAAAUGCGAUAAGUAAUGUGUAUUGCAGAAUUCAGUGAAUCAUCGAAUCUUUGAACGCACCUUGCGCUCCUUGGUAUUCCGAGGAGCAUGCCUGUUUGAGUGUCAUUAAAUUCUCAACCUUAUUGGCUUUUGCUAAUAAUGGCUUGGACUUGGGGGUCUUUUUGCUGGCUUUCAUUAGUCUGCUCCCCUUAAAUGUAUUAGCCGGUGCCCCGCAGUGGAACCGUCUAUUGGUGUGAUAAUUAUCUACGCCGUGGACGUCUGCUAUAAUGGGUUUGCGCUGCUUCUAACCGUCUCUCGGGACAACACAAAUGACAAUUUGACCUCAAAUCAGGUAGGACUACCCGCUGAACUUAAGCAUAUCAAUAAGCGGAGGA
rnacentral:misc_RNA from 1 species